rnacentral:rRNA from 1 species
GAUGAACGCUGACAGAAUGCUUAACACAUGCAAGUCUACUUGAACUUCGGUUUGGGUGGUGGACGGGUGAGUAACGCGUAAAGAACUUGCCUCACAGAUAGGGACAACAUUUGGAAACGAAUGCUAAUACCUGAUAUUAUGAUUUUAGGGCAUCCUAGAAUUAUGAAAGCUAUAUGCACUGUGAGAGAGCUUUGCGUCCCAUUAGCUAGUUGGAGAGGUAACGGCUCACCAAGGCGAUGAUGGGUAGCCGGCCUGAGAGGGUGAUCGGCCACAAGGGGACUGAGACACGGCCCUUACUCCUACGGGAGGCAGCAGUGGGGAAUAUUGGACAAUGGACCAAGAGUCUGAUCCAGCAAUUCUGUGUGCACGAUGAAGUUUUUCGGAAUGUAAAGUGCUUUCAGUUGGGAAGAAAAAAAUGACGGUACCAACAGAAGAAGUGACGGCUAAAUACGUG